UAAGAGUGUGAUUUCCAGUUACGCUAAAAUGCCAGGCUGUUCCAGUGCCUCAGAGCUUGAGGACAGCAGAAUUAAUGUGCUGCUGGGCCUGUGGGAGAAGCCAGGAUUUGGGGAGUCUUGGGGAGGAGUUGCAAGUCCCUUGUAGCAUCAAGCAUCAAGCAUCAAGCAUCACGCAUCACUAUAUGCAAAUGCAGCUUUAUGCCCUCAUCCUAAGUUAAAGAUCUGAUUCUGCCUUCCCACACCAUCGAAGAGGAUAGUCUAUAUCUUAGAGGCACUGUGAGAGGUGCUUAACACCCAGGGAAUCUGAAGGAGAAGAACAACUGGUAAAG
rnacentral:lncRNA from 1 species